CUCUCGGUUUCCGGUGUCAUGGCGGUUUGAGGUCUCAGCAGUCGGCGAGGCGGCUGCAGGCCCCUCCCUGCGGAGCCGCUGGUCCGGCAGGCGGGGAUGUGACCGCGGGCCCUGCCGGCCUGCCCCGGGCGUCGCCUCAGCUCCUGUGCCAGCGCCCUCCGUCCGCACCGAUGGCGGGGUCCGGCUGCGCGUGGGGCGCGGAGCCGCCGCGGUUUCUGGAAGCCUUCGGGCGGCUGUGGCAGGUACAGAGCCGCCUGGGGAGCGGCUCCUCGGCCUCGGUGUAUCGGGUGCGCUGCUGCGGCACCCCCGGCUCGCCCCCCGGCGCCCUCAAGCAGUUCCUGCCGCCGGGAACCACCGGCGCUGCGGCCUCGGCCGCCGAGUACGGUUUCCGAAAAGAGAGGGCGGCGCUGGAGCAAUUGCAGGGUCACAGGAACAUCGUGACCUUGUACGGAGUCUUCACCAUUCACUUCUCCCCGAACGUGCCGUCGCGCUGUCUGCUGCUGGAGCUCCUGGACGUCAGCGUCUCGGAGCUGCUCCUGUGCUCCAGCCACCAGGGCUGCUCCAUGUGGAUGAUCCAGCGCUGCGCCAGGGACGUCCUGGAGGCCCUUGCCUUCCUCCACCACGAGGGCUACGUGCACGCAGACCUCAAACCCCGUAACAUCCUAUGGAGCGCAGAGAAUGAGUGUUUUAAACUCAUUGACUUUGGACUUAGCUUCAAAGAAGGCAAUCAGGACGUGAAGUAUAUUCAGACCGACGGGUACCGGGCCCCAGAGGCAGAGCUGCAGAACUGCUUGGCCCAGGCCGGCCUGCAGAGCGACACGGAGUGCACCUCAGCUGUGGACCUCUGGAGCCUCGGAAUCAUUUUACUGGAAAUGUUCUCAGGAAUGAAACUGAAACACACAGUCAGAUCUCAGGAAUGGAAGGCAAACAGUUCUGCUAUUAUUGAUCACAUAUUUGCCAGUAAAGCAGUGGUGAAUGCCGCAAUUCCAGCCUAUCACCUCAGAGACCUUAUCAAAAGCAUGCUUCACGGCGACCCGGGCCGGAGGAUCCCUGCCGAGAUGGCGCUGUGCAGCCCGUUCUUCAGCAUUCCUUUCGCCCCUCACAUCGAAGACCUGGUGAUGCUCCCCACGCCAGUGCUGCGGCUGCUGAACGUGCUGGACGACGACUAUCUUGAGAACGAGGAGGACUACGAAGAUGUUGUAGAAGACGUCAAAGAGGAGUGUCAGAAAUACGGACCAGUGGUGUCUCUCCUCGUUCCAAAGGAGAAUCCUGGCAGGGGGCAAGUUUACGACCACAGAGCUUAUUCCUCUGUCUUCGCACGGCUUGGCCACCAGAGCAGUAUGAAUGUCAGCGAGCUCAAAGUCAGGCUGUCCAAAGCUGGACAGGAACACCUGCUGCAGUUCUGGAAUGAGCUGGGGGAGGCCCAGCAGGGAGAACUCUAUGCAGAGCUCCAGGCCAUGAACUUUGAGGAGCUGAACUUCUUUUUCCAGAAGGCCAUCGAAGGAUUCAACCAGUCGUCUCAGCAAGAAAAAAUGGAUGCACGCAUGGAGCCGGUCCCUCGAGAGGUGCUGGGCAGUGCCACCAGGGACCAAGAUCGGCUGCAGGCCUGGGAGAGUGAAGGACUUUUCCAGAUUUCUCAGAACAAAGUGGCAGUUCUCCUUCUGGCUGGCGGGCAGGGGACAAGACUUGGUGUUGCAUAUCCCAAGGGAAUGUAUGACGUUGGCUUGCCGUCUCAUAAGACGCUCUUUCAGAUUCAAGCGGAGCGUAUCCUGAAGCUUCAGCAGUUAGCAGAAAAAUAUCACGGCAACAAGUGUAUCAUUCCGUGGUAUAUAAUGACCAGUGGCAGAACAAUGGAAUUGACAAAGGAAUUCUUCACAAAGCACAAGUACUUUGGUUUAAAAAAAGAGAAUGUCAUCUUUUUCCAGCAGGGAAUGCUCCCUGCUAUGAGUUUUGAUGGGAAGAUUAUCUUGGAAGACAAGAACAAGAUUUCCAUGGCGCCAGAUGGGAACGGCGGUCUUUACCGGGCCCUCGCAGCCCAGAAUAUCGUGGCGGACAUGGAGCGGAGGGGCAUCUGGAGCAUUCACGUCUACUGUGUGGACAACAUCCUGGUGAAGGUGGCAGACCCCCGCUUCAUCGGCUUCUGCGUCCAGAAGGGAGCGGACUGUGGGGCAAAGCAUUUGAUGCUAGAAAUCAUGUUCUGUGCUUGUGUGUGGGAAAGCCGAUGAUCGUCACUAGGCCUGGGAUGGAUUCACUGGUACCAGAAACUUUAAUUUUACUGCUCUGAGCUUCAGGUCAGUUUUAAAUUUUGUAUGAUCCGAGCGGUGAACCUGGAAAGAACCUCAGAGAUCAUGUCGUCAACCCGUGUUAUCUCAGAAAGGAGCACCCAGAGUUCCAGUGCUUAACAAACGUGAAAGUAGAUGUGCUACCGUUUGUGAGUAUACGGUCACACAGAGAUUCAAGUGUAACCCGUCCGGCCACACCACCACCUGUGGGUCCUCCGGGAUUCUCCGUCUUCCUGCUCAUCACCUGGCACAUCACGCAGAAGCCAGUUGAUGCUUUCGUCUGUGAUCCAGACCUUGAUAACAUCUGGAGGGGCAGAGUUGUCCUAGAGGUACGUCUUUCACCGACGGAUGCUCUGUGGGACGCACCGACGCGAACUGUGACGUGUGAGCAUGCUCAGGUUCUUUCCCGUGGCUCGUCAGGAGUAGGGGUUGUAGAAGUGACUGGAAAAUCGUGUGCGCGUGUAGAUGGGAGAGGGCGGACUCAAUUCCAAAUUUCGUGUCUAGUGAAACGUCACCCCGCCGCCUCCCACAGUGGAGGUGGUGAGGGCUGAGGGCUUGAUGGUCGAGAAUUGCAGAUAGGCCUGUGAUUGAUGGCAGUCAUUUUCUUGUAUGUUUCCCCCAGUUUAAUCCACUUCCUUGGUAGCAAGUUCCUUUUCACUGAACGGUGUGCCUUUCCGGGUGGCAGACGGUGAAACCGCACAGCAGACUUCCGUCCCAGGUAGCCCUGCCUCACCGAGCUCGGCCCCCCCGCCAGUCCUGCUACUUGCCGUGUAAACCAGGGCCUCAGCGGGGGUGUCCGUUGUCUGGACGGGAUGCCGCUGGCCGGGUUUAUUUUAAGAAAUCAAUUGCCGAGGAAAAGCUUUCAUUUUAGAUAUGGUUUCAUGUAUGCUUAGGAUGGACUUUUCAGUCUGGGGACAGAUUUUUCAAAGGACUCCAGAGCGUGCUGGGUUAAGCAUGUUAGUCGACCAGGGCAGACAGCAGUAUCUGUAAAUACUCCUUGCUGUUUGAUUCUUCUGUUGGGUAUUCAGCUCCUCUGAGUCUUGAUUUCACUCAGUGUGGUGCAUGCCGUUCUUCUGUAAUUUCCUUCUGAACACUUAAUCUAGGUCAGUGAUGUGUUGGGUUAGGGUGCGGGGGUAUCAGAAUCACUUGUGAGGUUUUUGGUUGUUU